AUUGAACGCUGGCGGCAUGCUUUACACAUGCAAGUCGAACGGCAGCGCGGGCUUCGGCCUGGCGGCGAGUGGCGAACGGGUGAGUAAUGCAUCUGAACGUGCCCAGUCGUGGGGGAUAGCCCGGCGAAAGCCGGAUUAAUACCGCAUACGACCUGAGGGUGCAAGCGGGUGGCCGAAAGGCCUCGCGCUAUUUGAGCGGCCGAUGUCGGAUUAGCUAGUUGGUGGGGUAACGGCUUACCAAGGCGACGAUCCGUAGCUGGUCUGAGAGGACGACCAGCCACACUGGGACUGAGACACGGCCCAGACUCCUACGGGAGGCAGCAGUGGGGAAUUUUGGACAAUGGGGGCAACCCUGAUCCAGCCAUGCCGCGUGCGGGAAGAAGGCCUUCGGGUUGUAAACCGCUUUUGUUCGGGAAGAAAUCCUCUGGGCUAAUACCCCGGGGGGAUGACGGUACCGGAAGAAUAAGCACCGGCUAACUACGUG
rnacentral:rRNA from 1 species